ACGGAGGGUGCGAGCGUUAAUCGGAAUUACUGGGCGUAAAGCGCGCGUAGGCGGUUUUUUAAGUCGGAUGUGAAAUCCCCGGGCUUAACCUGGGAACUGCACCCGAUACUGGACGACUAGAGUGCGAGAGAGGGAGGUAGAAUUCCACGUGUAGCGGUGAAAUGCGUAGAUAUGUGGAGGAAUACCGGUGGCGAAGGCGGCCUCCUGGCUCGACACUGACGCUGAGGUGCGAAAGCGUGGGGAGCAAACAGG
rnacentral:rRNA from 1 species